rnacentral:rRNA from 1 species
AAUUGUUCGCAAUGGGCGCAAGCCUGACGACGCAACGCCGCGUGGAGGACGAAGAUCUUCGGGUCGUAAACUCCUGUCGAGCGGGACGAACGCUUCGCGGAUGAAUAUUCCGCGGAAUUGACGGUACCGCUAAAGGAAGCCCCGGCUAACUCCGUGCCAGCAGCCGCGGUAAUACGGGGGGGGCAAGCGUUGUUCGGAAUUACUGGGCGUAAAGAGCGCGCAGGCGGUCGUGCAAGUCGCGUGUGAAAGCCCCCGGCUCAACUGGGGAGGGUCACGCGAUACUGCUCGACUUGAAGGCAGGAGAGGGAAGUGGAAUUCCCGGUGUAGUGGUGAAAUGCGUAGAUAUCGGGAGGAACACCAGUGGCGAAGGCGACUUCCUGGCCUGUUCUUGACGCUGAGGCGCGAAAGCUAGGGUAGCAAAC